rnacentral:tRNA from 1 species
GCUCCUGUCGUCUAGUCCGGUCAAGGAUGGAGCCCUUUCGAGGCUCUGACACGGGUUCAAAUCCCGUCGGGAGCA